CGCUGCCAUGCGUGCCGGCAUCCCUUCUUAUGCGUGUGUACAUAUCUAUGUGAUCCCCUCUCUCCCUCUUCAGCUUUUCGUUUCUUUCUCUCUUUUCUUUUAGCGUCUUUUCCGAUGUGCCCUUCUUUACUAUGUGUGUGUGUAUCUGCUUGGGCCAUACUGCACCCCCGGCCAGCACAGCGCGAACGAAGAGCUGCACACACACACACAUGCGCUUGUAUGAGCGGCAGCGACCUUCCCCCCCCCCCGCCUGACCUCUUCUCCCUCUUUCGGUCUCCCGCUAAUACACUAUCGAUAUGCAGGGCGAGAGACAACGGUGGAGACAGAGCUGCCGUGCGACGGAUAACACGAAGCUCUCGGUAAAAGCGCACACAGUUUGGGUAACCGAACGUGUGCACGUGUGUCGUAUCCUCGCGUGAACCAGAGCAAGUGCGCACGUGACUGUGUCGGCUUUCCAUCCCGUGUGCCUGCUGUGGGAUGAAAGAGAGGAAAGCACUCUUUUUCUCCGUACUAAAGCCGACAGCGCGCUCUGUCGAACCUCGCUCUCUCUCUUUCAGUGUUGUCGCCACAUCUUCAUCCGCCCCACCCACCCACCCCGCCCAUCCCCCAUGUGUGCAUGUGUUUGUGUGUGUAGGGGGUAGAGCUCGUAUCGCUGCUUGCGUUGGAUCCUUCUUAGCCGCGCCUGCUCUUACGGUUGUUGAUCAUCUCCCUCUUCUUCCUCGUAUCCUUUUGUCUUGCCAAG
rnacentral:misc_RNA from 1 species